rnacentral:rRNA from 1 species
AACGAACGCUGGCGGCAGGCUUAACACAUGCAAGUCGAACGCCCUCUUCGGAGGGAGUGGCAGACGGGUGAGUAACGCGUGGGAACCUACCUAGUAGUACGGAAUAACUCAGGGAAACUUGUGCUAAUACCGUAUACGCCCCUCGGGGAAAGAUUUAUCGCUAUUAGAUGGGCCCGCGUUGGAUUAGUUUGUUGGUGAGGUAACGGCUCACCAAGGCUACGAUCCAUAGCUGGUCUGAGAGGAUGAUCAGCCACACUGGGACUGAGACACGGCCCAGACUCCUACGGGAGGCAGCAGUGGGGAAUAUUGGACAAUGGGGGAAAACCCUGAUCCAGCCAUGCCGCGUGAGUGAAGAAGGCCCUAGGGUUGUAAAGCUCUUUCGCUAGGGAAGAUAAUGACGGUACCUAGUAAAGAAGCCCCGGCUAACUUCGUG